GGCGACUUAUCUAACGAAAGACUGAAUAGCUUUUCUGCGGCCUCUGGGAUAAACGAAGGCUUCUGGGCACCUGAAGUGAACAAACGCUAUUUCCAGUUCGCUUGCAACUUCAGUGCGUCACACGAUGUAAUCAGGGUCGAACGGAAAUCAGUCGAAGCUGCGGGCGUUCAUCCAGCGCAUGUUCCUUACCCCGGGCAAUGUUCGACUACAUCUUUGUUACCUUUGGGCCUAAAAAAACUUACUUGCGAUGAAGGCAGAUGUCACAGCCGUCAUAGAAGCAGCAUUCGCAACUAGAAAGCGGCUGUUCAGAACUUGAAGGAUACAGAAAAUUUCAUGUUGGCUUUGAAGCAGCUGAGUGCUACCAAAUGACGUAUUUUAACCAGGAACAACUUCGAAUGGGACAUGAGCUUCUUUAGUUAACUGAACCGUGUCUGCCGUCAGGUGAGUGCACAGAGGGACUCAAGUUCUUAGGCGAAUUACUAUGCUGUCUUUACUGACUUUAUAAGACAGGCAUCAGUAGACAAUGAUACCAAAUUAAAUCUGUCAUAUUUUACCCCUAUCGGAUCGUUAUCCCUGGAAGUUCCCUGGAAGCGCCACACGUGCGCGCGGCGGUGCACACAACCUGAAUACUUUAUUCAACUUCAAAAAUUCGACUUGCUUCUAAAAUCAAGAAGAUAACGGAAUUCUACACAGGGCUCCGAAAAUGUAGAGAAACGCGUUGAGUAGUUUGUAUAUAAAUAUAUAUAUAUUGCAAUUUGUUUGUUUAUGUGGGCCUCUCCUACAGCAUACUUUACUAAAAAAUGGCGAACGGCAACAUUCAAGCACGUAUGCUGUACAUCUAUAACAUAUGUGGACAUAUUUCCUUACAGGAACGUAGUGCUUCA